rnacentral:rRNA from 1 species
CCUUUAUACUGCUGCGAACGGCUCAUUAUAUCAGUUAUAAUCUACUUGAUCGUAUCCUCUUACUUGGAUAACCGUAGUAAUUCUAGAGCUAAUACAUGCAAAAGUUCCCGACUGGUGACGGAAGGGAAGUAUUUAUUAGGUCCAAAAUCAAUGCUGGCCAUUCCAAACUGGGUGGGUCAAACUGCCUGGGGUCGGGAAAGUUGAAGAUUCAUAAUCUCUAAAAAAAGCACAGNGAUCUUUUCCCCGCUGAUAAAAAAAAGAAUUUGCGCCCUAACCAUUUUACGGGGGAAUAAGGGGGAACAAAGGGGNCCCCAGGGGAAAGGGGNUAAAA